rnacentral:rRNA from 1 species
UACGGAGGGGGCUAGCGUUGUUCGGAAUUACUGGGCGUAAAGCGCACGUAGGCGGCUUUGUAAGUUAGAGGUGAAAGCCCGGGGCUCAACUCCGGAAUUGCCUUUAAGACUGCAUCGCUCGAAUCGUGGAGAGGUAGUGGAAUUCCGAGUGUAGAGGUGAAAUUCGUAGAUAUUCGGAAGAACACCAGUGGCGAAGGCGACUUACUGGACACAUAUUGACGCUGAGGUGCGAAAGCGUGGGGAGCAAACAGG